UACGUAGGUGGCAAGCGCUGUCCGGAAUUAUUGGGCUUAAAGCACGCGCAGGCGGUUUCUUAAGUCUGAUGCGAAAGCCCACGGCUCAACCGUGGAGGGUCAUUGGAAACUGGGAGACUUGAGUACAGAAGAGGAGAGUGGAAUUCCACGUGUAGCGGUGAAAUGCGUAGAGAUGUGGAGGAACACCAGUGGCGAAGGCGACUCUCUGGUCUGUAACUGACGCUGAGGCGCGAAAGCGUGGGGAGCGAACAGG
rnacentral:misc_RNA from 1 species